rnacentral:rRNA from 1 species
UACGAAGGGGGCUAGCGUUGCUCGGAAUUACUGGGCGUAAAGCGCACGUAGGCGGUCUUUUAAGUCGGGGGUGGAAAUCCUGGAGCUCAACUCCAGAACUGCCUUCGAUACUGGAAGACUUGAGUCCGGGAGAGGGUGAGUGGAACUGCGAAGUGUAGAGGUGAAAUUCGUAGAUAUUCGCAAGAACACCAGUGGCGAAGGCGGCUCACUGGCCCGGUACUGACGCUGAGGUGCGAAAGCGUGGGGAGCAACAGG